rnacentral:tRNA from 1 species
CAGUAAGUAUUUUAUAUAAAAUAUUAGUUUUGGAGACUAAAGAAAGAAUUUUUUUUUUCUUACUGA